GCCAACGAAAAUACUACCAGCAAACUCUUUCUCCCCCGAUCCGGGUGACACGGGGGCAGAUAACCUAGCGCCGCCCCUUCUCCACUAUACGCCCUCCCACGUCUUGCCGCCGCCAUAGGUGGCCGCCGGCGAAGCUCAGCUGGCUCCGAGGACGGCGGCGGCGGGCUGUUUCUCCAGCUGAGCUACUCCUUCUAUCUGCGGAGGGCAGGUGGCUGAGGCCGUCGGCAGGCGCUCGGGUGACGGAUCUGCGAGUAGGGGGUGCAGGCGGCUGUCCUGAGGUGGUGGUGCCGGCGGCGGCGCAUGGGGCUGACCUCCGGUGGUCGCGCGACGGCAGCGGCUGGGCGGGCCAGAUCUGGCCCCGCCAGGGCCGGCGUCUCUCUUUCAUUUUACUCUGUUGUCAUUUGGUUUUGUUUGCACGAUGCAUAUACGUUAAUUAACAGUUAACACUGCUGGACUUGGCCAGGAGUGAUUCGAUGGAGGAUGACGAGUGGACAAGUCUUGGCGUGGCUGGACGCUCUUAGCUCCAUGAGGAGGACGGAAGUGGAUCCUCUAACAUACACAAGGAAUGUUAGAGAAGCUACAGUACCCUAACUUUCCUUCUGUUAAUCCAUACAAUUAAGUCUAAAAUAACUUAAAUUAUUUUUUAAAUUACAGAUCUAGUAUGCACAUUCAUAGUAAUUACAUACAAACAAGUUGAUGGUGAGAUAAAGUUAAUUUUAGAUUUUUUAUAUCUACAGUAAUUACCAAAAGUAAAUAACUUGCUAAUAGUCCGUAACAUUCCUUCUUCAUUUUACACUAGACGCGCACUGUAGCACCGUGACAUCCCUUCUCUAAGUUAGAGGAUCCGGCUCCGAGGAGGACAUACUUGAUCCCCAUGGACGCCAAGGAGGCUAGGAUACAGGCAGAGGUAGAGGAGGCAAGGAUGAAGGAGACGGCCGCUGCGCAAAAUUUGAAUAAACUAGAAAUAUCCUGGAAACUUUAAUAUUUGGAGUAUCAAAUUCAGUUUUUUUCUUUGAAUACAUCCUUAAAAUCACUAAGCUCCCUGGGAUUGGAGCUCCUAGGGAUGAUUGAGGUGAUCGAUUUGGUUUGUGUCGUCGAUUUUGACUGGGCCAUUGGUUUCAUGGAAACUUUUUAGUUGACAGCCACGUAUGUUCAUGUUUUUAUACAUAUCUACUGGAGAAAACAUUGUACAUCUUAUGGUGAUUAGAACAAGUACUUCGCUUAUGUAUGGAGAUUUGGUACUCCCUCCGUUUUUAUUUAGUUCGCAUAUUAGUUUUGGUCAAAGUCAAGUUUUGUAAACUUUGACAAAGUUUCUAAACAAAAAUAUUAACAUAUACAAUAACAAAUCAAUACCAUUAGAUUCAUUAUUUAUUAUACUUUCACGUCAUAUAGAUUUGAUAUGGUAAAUGCUUAUAUUGUUUUCUAUAAACUUGAUCAAACUUUACGAAGUUUGACUUCAGUCAAAUCUAAUACGCGAACUAAAUAAAACGGAGGGAGUAUAUGCUUAGGUUAGGUUAUGUUUCUGUUUCUCUCCCCUUAAUUAUUUAUUUUGAGAAACGCACAGUAGUAGUAGUAUGCAGAUUAGAUAUAUGUUUAGGCCAUGUCCUUUUAGUAUAACUCUCUCUCUCUCUCAGCCAUUUUUUUUUUCAAUUUGCCCAGCUUAUGCUUUUAGAGAGGUAUGUUGGUAGAAAUAAGCUUCUUAAAAAAGCAUAUAGUUGCGUUCUUCUUUUGUCACCAAUAGUAAGCACUAAAAAUCAAACAAAACUCAGCCCUUCAUUUUGGGUUUAACAACGAGCAUAGUCCUACAAUCCACUUAGGAAAGUUGAGCUUGUAGGAUUGUUAUGUGCUUUUAAAUAAGUAACCAUACAUACAUAUUAUUUUGUUUGCCAUUUAGAAUUAAAAACUGGUAAAGAUAAGUAUUUAUUCAUAUUCUUGCUCUUUUUAUAUAUAUGUUCAUGCCAUAUUUCAUUAAAUGUUAAAAGUUCAUUCAUAUUCUUGCUCAUUUUACAUGGAUGUUCAUGUCAUACCACCAAAUGCAGGGUAGAAGCAGUUUUUCCCAGAGCACUAAAUGUGGGAGGUGAUUUAGGUAGCAUGUGCGCCUUCACGGUCACUAGAAGAUCCAGGGAACAAAAUGCCGGUUAGUUACUUUCUGAACCUCAAACUUCUUAUGUAAUGUAUCUUCUGUACCCUUAUAUGUUAGAAAAAUGUAUAGCUUACAUUCUCUCCUUAGAUGGUCAACUAACAGGGAUUAUAUCUGUUAAGGAUAUUCCUACCAGAAAACUUAUAUGGAUAAUUAGAGAAGAUAAUAUUAAAAACCAGUAUAAUGCAGCUAGCUACGAGCCUCCACAGCGAUUUGACUGUCUCAGCCAUCGGAUCCUUGAACCUGUGAUCCAGAUCAAACUUGGUCGUCCCAGGUCGUCUGCGCGCUGCACGCACCGUUUCGCGGGACGCUUAUCCGCAGAACGACCUGCUUUUUUUUUUCCUCAAUCGGGCCGUCCAAGGCCCACUUCUUUCCAGUUCGAUGGUAACAGCCCACGUUCCGGUGCUAUCCCUCCUAUCCAGCUGAACAAUUUCUCCGUUCCUCCGUGCCACCGUUUGUUCCUCCUCGAUGAGCCGGCGUUCCUUCCUCCUCGAUGCGCCGGCGUUCUGCCAUGGGCGAGCUUGUGCUGCGUGACUACCUCUGCACCGGUCUGGUCCACCCACCCUCUACUCUUCCACCUAGCCUCUUCCUUGUUGCAUCUGCUCCUUCCUACGCGAGGCGUCGCCUUUUCUUCCUCCGCGAUGCACCACCGCUGUCGGCUUCCAUGGCUGGUUGUCCUUUUCUUGCAUCCGCCUUCAUGCCUUGCAGCUGUACCGCACGCCCCUUUCCCUCGCAUAACCGAAGCUGAAACUGCCGCAUGAAAGGUCUACUGUCUACCUCCUGAGAUAAUUGUGAUGAUGGUAAUUAACUUCAGGGGUGAUGGUGGUGAUUAAUUUUCCUCAUAUAUAUGCCUCACAUAAUCCCUUCCUUCCUGCCUUGCGCGCCGUCUCUCGGCUGUGCCUGUUGCUUACUUUUGUUCUUGCCGACCAUCCAUCUUUCUCCCUCUAAUCCCCCUCCAUAUGUACGUAUCUACGGAACUGACUUGCUAUUCGUCCUUGCAGGUUCGCCAGCAGCUGGUCCUUAGAUUGGUUGCCUCUCCUGGUACNNN
rnacentral:lncRNA from 1 species